rnacentral:pre_miRNA from 1 species
UUUUUAAUAUAAUUAUGUCUCAUGAAAUAUUUGUGACAUACUUAUAUUACAA